ACACCUCAACUCUCACGGUCUCUCGUGAUGAGCUUGGAUGUUGGGGGUUUUGUUGGCUGCGGUCAGCUCCUCUCAAAUGAAUCAGCUUGCCGGUGUUUGGUGGCAUUACGGGUGUGAUAACUAUCUACGCUCGUGGUUGUUGACCAGGUAACCUCCAGUGAUGGAGGUUCACCGGAGCUUAUAAACGUCUCUCCUCAGCGAGGACAUUUUUUCAA
rnacentral:misc_RNA from 1 species